CCCUGAUCGUUACAAUUCCCAUCUCUUCUGGACUUUUUAUCCUAAAUAGGUUUUUGCAGCAAAUCACCUCCUCCGCUAAUGUGUCACUGGGAGCCGCUCCGGAGAGCUGAGUCCCAGGAGGUUAGCGGAACCCUUCCUCAGUUUCUGCAUGCCUAUCUCAGAGCUUAUAAAGAGGUGGAGAAAUUACUAUGAAGGCCCCAGUGCAGAAUGCCUGAGAGAAUAAAAUGAUAAGACUGAGAAACUUGGGAACCA
rnacentral:lncRNA from 1 species